UACGUAGGGGGCAAGCGUUGUCCGGAAUUAUUGGGCGUAAAGAGCGUGUAGGCGGUCCGGUAAGUCAGCUGUGAAAGUCAAGGGCUCAACCCUUGAAUGCCGGUUGAUACUGUCGGGCUAGAGUCCGGAAGAGGCGAGUGGAAUUCCCGGUGUAGCGGUGAAAUGCGCAGAUAUCGGGAGGAACACCAAUGGCGAAGGCAGCACUCUGGGACGUGACUGACGCUGAGACGCGAAAGCGUGGGGAGCAAACAGG
rnacentral:rRNA from 1 species